CUUUAUAGCAUGAAUAAAAGAAUGUGCAACACACAUGCACAAUUAGUAGUUAAUGAUAAAUUAAAACAAUACAUAUACCAAUAACACUCAACCAUUUAUUAAGAGAAAUAUAAAUAACAUGUGCCAAUCCCAAUAUUUCAAAGAAUUAAUAUAAUCAAUAGUGGAACACCCUUGAUGCAAUGUUGUUGACAUAGAAAUCAUCUUUCUUCAAUCUUCAACUAGUAUCACAUGUCACGUCUACAUUUAGUUAUUGGUGAGCAUCCACGGGUAUAAGGUUGUGGCUUGAUGAUGCGAGGUUUCUGAUUUCCUUUACAGCCAGGCAAUUCUCCACCUCUUUUACAUAAUUCAUCUUUUAUAUUCAUUUGACCCAUCACACCUUGGUUGAGCAUUGUCAUGCUUAGAAGAAGAACACAAAGAAACAAAACCUUCAUUGUAAUGAUGAUAUUUUAAUUUGAUCUUCUGUGUGCUCUAUAAUAAUUUGCAAUUGGCAAUUCAUAGUUUUGUUGUGGUUAAAGGUUAAUAUGUGGUUUGGCUUUAAUUUAUGCUAGAGGAUAGGGAUAAUCUUAGGUAAUUUGCUAUGAGAUAAAAAUGAAUGGUUUAAUUUCUAUGAGAAAGUUAGUUGUGGUAGUUUCAAUCAUUGCUAUAUUCGCAUUUAAAAUGAAUUUAAUUAAAUUCCUUUUGUUUUACUUAAUUUCCCAUUUUGGUGUUUUCUUGUACAAACUUGUUUUGUUUUGAAAAAAAAAAUGCAGAAACUUAUAUUUAUCUAAUAAUGCAACCUUCUAACGUUGCAUAUACUUUCAAACUACAAUUUGUAACUAUUACAUUAUAUAUAUAUAUAUAUAUAUAUAUAUAUAUACUAUUACAUAAAAUCAAAACGUGACAUAAAAGUAAUUAAAUAAUUGAACAAGCGUAAUUUUUUAUUCUAAAAUUGUCCUUCUAUAUAGCACUUCUCUAUUCCAAAACAAAUGCAUAUAAUUCUUCAUGGUAUUAGUAGAAACUAUUAGAUAUCAAGGAGCAAGGGAAGAAUUGUGUAUAAUAUUCAUUAAAUGGAUUGAAUACAAAGAAAUUAAACAACUUAUUAUAUAGAAAAUAUAAUGGAUUUAACUCUACCUAAGUAACUAAGUGAGUUUAAACUGAUUAGUAGUCCAAGAUAAUAUUAACCAAAAAUAUCAAAACAUAUUUCAACACUCCUCAAACUGGAAAGUGAAUGUUGUCAACUCCCUAAACAUUCCAUGAUACAUUUCUCAUAUGACACUUCACAAUGGUUAUUCUUGAUAUUUCCACAAUUAUCUUUGCUUUAAGGAGUUUGAUGGACUAUCAGAGAUUCACUGAUUCAUACCGAAAAAGUGGGCAUCUUUUGUGCCCUAUCCAUUUGCCUUCAUUAAACCCAAUGGUGCUCAUGGAGCCUUGUAUUCGCUGAUGAAGAAAAUCUUCCCAUUUGGUGAUAGGAAAUGGGAAGAACAGUAGAGAUAAUCAAUGAAGAAAGAAGAACAGGAAUAUAUUUUUUGUAUUCCUUAAGGUACUUUUUGGGUUCGGAAAUUGCAAGGUCCAAGAAUGGAAAACACAUGAAUCAAAGGAAAUAUGAUUUAUCACUCUUAUAGGAUUCCAGUUCUGUUUCCACCAAGCCAACUAAUACACCUUUCGAUCCUAUUGCAAAGCUACAAAUCGGCCAAGGUAGCCAUUUUGAUGAUAUCCCUUUUUAUUAUAUCUAACAAUCUCUAGGCCAUACAUCUCGUAUGCUAUCAAACAUCUUAAUCUCUAUAUGUCUAGACCUAUGAAUUCCCGUUACAAAGUUGAAGAUAUGGUAUUAUAAUAUCUCAGAGGCUCUCAUGCUCAGGGUGAGGUGGUUUGUGCCUUAUUUUCUAAUUGAAAGGGACAUGAGUCAUCAUGAUAAGUUACAUUUCAAGAUUGAAAGACUUCAUGUGAUUGGAGAUCAUAAAGGAUGUACCAUUUAGUUCUUUCUCUAUAAUCAAGGAACACAUUUCCUAGCCCUACGUUGUAAAUUUGUUCUAUUGAGUGGUACUUUGAUUGGCUAAGGAACCAAAUACUCUAAGCUGAUCAAGGGAAGGGAGUGCAUGGUAUAGUAUCCGGUAUGAGUUUUUGUUGUUGAGAAGGAGAGUAAGCAAUUUAAUUAUGAUGUGGAGAGAAUGUUGUAUGGUAAAAUUCCACAAUUUUUGGAUUGUGAUAUUGAAAAUAUAAGGUUAUGAAAAUAUUGAGUAUAUGAUGAUGUUUUCUCUCUAUAAAAGAUUUACAGUUGUCCCUAUAUAUUUUUACGGUUAAUACUUAUAAAAUUCUCUAUUAUCUUUAAAUUGGAUAAAAUUUCUUUAAACAAGAGUUUGGAGCUCGAGAUUCGAUUAUGGAUCAGAGAAGGUAUUAGCACCUCGCCCACCAGACUAGACGAUAGCCUCGCUAAUUUGCAUGGAUUAAUUAUACCACUAAUUUAUUUAUUAAAAAUUUAAUUACAAAAAAAAAAUGAGAUUUUUUAGAUUGGUAUAUGAUAAGAUUUUAUCUUGCUCCUACGUAUUCGAAGGUGCAAUAGAGAAAUUAAUACUGCGUAGUUCUCGGUUUAAAGAAGUUUGAGUGGCAUUAUUUAAUUUGAUUCGAUAAAUAGCAGAAGAUGUACAAAUAACCAUAACAGUUUCUAGGUUCGAAGCAAGGAGCCAGGUAGGACAUGAGUCAUAACCUCACUAUUGAAUUCCCAAAAAGUAAAUAAAACACUUUAUUUUUAUUGUUAAAUAAUUUAUUAUUAAAAAAGAGAAUUAAUUGAAGAAAAUUCGGAAUAGGCCGUUAAUCAUCUUCUUAGUUCGAUAAAUAGCAGAGAUAAUACAAAUGACAGCAACCAUUUCUCGGAUCGAAUUGUAAAGCAAGAUACAACAUGAGCCGUAAUCUCGCUAUUGAAUUCCCAAAUAAAUUAAUUAAGACAUUUUUAUUAUUAAAUAAAUUAGAAAUAAAAAAUAAUUAAUAGCAUAAGAAAAAUCAUUGGUUAUUAACUCUUAGGAGUAGGAGGAAACAGUAAUGGGAAGAGAAAAAAAUAAUGGCAAAGGAAGAUGGGAUGAAGUGAAGAAGAUAGAAUGUAUCAAAAAAUGGAAGAGAAACAGAUAGAGAAAGAUUACAUAUAGGAAUAUUGCAUUAAACUUAGCGAUACAAUAAAAUUUCUCAAUAUCUAUCUCAUAUGUUUUAUUACCCUUAGCACCACAUUUUUGUAGUAUAUUUUUGUGUUUAUGUGAUUCUCUAUAUUUUGUGUCUCUUUUUUUGGUGUAUUUUAAUUUGGCAUGUGCUCAAGCCUAUAUUUACAAGAGAUAUUUGACACAUGUUCAAAAUAAAAGGUAAGUUCUCUCAUUAAUGCCUUCAAUCAAUUAAAAUGUUUUUCUUUUUCCUUCAUAAUCAAAUAUGUAAUUAAUUGAUUUUAUUUAAAAUUCAAAUAUUUGGUGUAAUUUAGAAUAUCUUAAAAAAUAUCUUCAUAGUUUUAUAAAGCUAUAAAAAAUUAUUAUGACGCUCUCAUACAUUAAUAAAAAACGAUUUGACCUUAAAACCAUAAGUAUUUGGAAUACUUUUUCUGCAAAUUUUUUAUAGUGACUUUACAAAAUCUCAAAAACUAUUUCAGAAAAAUUGACAAGCAUUAUUUGUUUAAUUUUAUUUAAUUAAAAAAUUGAAAAGGCAUAUGUUUUGUAAAUGAAAUAUCUCUAUUAUUAGAUUAAUAAGUUUUCAUUAAGUCAUUUAAAAUCUUUUUUAUUUUAUUUGUCAUGGAAAACGAAAAUUGGGAGGGGAGUGGACUUUGAGGUUGUAUAUGGCUAAUAGAUUAUCAUUAUGUAAUUUUAACCUAUAUGAGUGUGAAAUAUGAAAUUAUUUUUCAAAAUGAAAUAUUUCAUUUACAAUUAUUAUUUGGAAUCAAAUAUUAUAUUAUUGAAAACAUUUUUUUGGAAAACAUAUUUGAUUUUGUGAUUAAGCAGAUCGUGAUUUGAGAGUUGUAAAUUGUGAUAUUAGAGUUCUCAUGCUAAGUAACUAAUACAUAAAUAAGUAUUAAUUUUGUCAAGAUUGUGAAAACUUAUUAGGCCGAACUUUGAGUACUUUAUUGAGACAAUUGGAAUUGAUGAAGAACACACGUUGAGAUACUAACAGAACUCAAGAAAGAAAGAAAAAACGUUGCACAUCGUAUAGUUGGAACUUAGGAAAAUCAAUAACAACAUAGGUCAUGAUCCUACUGGAAUCUAGGUAAGCAUUAAUUUUGGGACACAAGUCAUCGGGAUCCUUCUCGAACCUAGGUAAGCACUGAUUUUGGUAAACAAGCCACUAGGAACGUGGAUUGGGAUCCGAGUAGAACCUAGGUAGGAAUCAAUUUUUGGAAGCAAGUCACUAGAACACGGGUUGGGAUCAUUGGAAUAGAGUAAUAUUGAUAUAUAAAAAAUAUAGAAUUAAAUAUAAUGAUAUGAAAGUCUGAACUAAAAAAUACAUGAGUGAAAACUUUUCAUUGUUAUAAACUUAACAUUAAUUUUACAUACAAUUCAAAUUUAAAUAGUAAUUAGAAAGAGAAAAUUGUUCAUUGUACUUAAUUAUAGAACUCAUAAAUUUUAAGGAGGAUUAAUAUACUUUUCCAUUUAAUUUCCAUAUUUUAUUGGCAACUUAUAAAGAUCAUAUACUGUCUAAUAUAUUUGUGUGUUGAAGUUGGAAAGGCCAAGAAUUUUUUGGUUGUUGGAACAAUGAUCUUCUAAUUGAAUAUUAAUUACAUUGAGUAUAUUGAACUUGAUUUGAAUAGAAAUUUUGGAACUAUUAUGCUGUCAAAAAUUACAAAGACAAUCUAGUCAAUGGCAAUAUUAUAGUUCACCAUAGCAUUUCUAAAAUCGUUGAAGGAGAAGAAAGGAUAAAUGCAAGUUAUCAUUGAACGACGUUAUUUCUUUAUCUUUUCUAUACGUAUUUUUAGUGUAAUAUAUAUAUAUCGAUAGUGUAAAAAUUUAUGCACAGUUAGUGCAUUAUCAAUAAUUCAUUUGUAUUAUUUUUAUUUAAAAUUCAAUAAUGAUUAAAAAUGAAUAGUAAAUGAUACAAUAACGGUGUAAGAAUCUCUUACAUUGUUAAUGUUUAUAUUUUUUUUUAUGAAAUUGAACAAUUACAUUAUUAGGAUUCUCCUUUAUGUCAUAUAAGAUGCAAAUCAAUUUUGGUUUGUCUAAAAUGACAGUAUACUUAUCUUAUUUUAUAAUAAUCCAAACCAGACUGCUCAAAUGUAAUUUUAAUUUCUUCUAAUAUUUUAAUAUUAAGCAAGGGUGUACUCUAUAAAAAGUUCAUAUUCACAAAUGAAUAUGGAUGCUUUAGUGUUCAUAUAAACACAACAAAAGUUCACAUAUUGAAGCCCAUUUGAUAUAAUUGAUGAAUAUCUACCAUGAAUAUUGAAAAUGUAAAAUAUAUCACUACAUUUUCCGACCACAAUAUCAUUACUAUUAAAAGUUCUCCAAUAAAAAAUUUAAUAUAUAAAACAUGAAGACCAUAUAAGCAUGAACAAGUAGUUUAUAAUAUGAAAAAAAGAUGUAUACACCGAUAUUGUAAGAGAUUUUUACACUGCUAAUAUAUCACCAACAAUUCAUAUUUUAUCAUCAUUGACUCUUGAAUAAAAUUAAUAAAAAUGAAUGGCAGAUGAUACACUGACUGUGUAUAAUUUUUUACGUAAAUAUUACACUCUUAUAAUAUAUAAUAUAAUUUUUCUUUACGUAAAUAUUACAUCCUAUAUUUCAUAGGAAGCGGCCCCCACUUCCACAUUGACAUAGGUGAGUGUAUCAAGAGUAUAGUACCUCUAAUUGGAGUAUUGAUCUCAUUAAGAGUAAAUUUAACUCAUCCUUACAUAUCACUUCAUAAUUUUAUACCAUGUUCAUUCUCAUUGCAUAACUUAUAAUUACUCAUUGAACCUAUUUCUUGGGAUCUCCAAUCAGUUAGGACAUGUUACAAUCAUGAGUGAUCCUCAUUCUAAGGGCAAUAGUCUCAUACUCUUACAAGUAUUAUGGACUUUUUUCUCUAGCUAGUCUUUUCGUCAAAGGAUUUGUUAAGUUAUUUUUAGUGUGUACAUGACCCACUAUAACAGCUCCAGUAGAGAGUAAUUCUCUAAUGGUGUUGUGCUUACAACGUAUUUGUCGUUUAUUACCGUUAUAAAAGUGAUUCUCAUUUUUUGCAAUAGCUGGAGUACUUUCACAAUGGAUCAACACAACUGGUAUCAGUUUUUCCCAAAGGGGAAUCUCAGCAAGCAAGCUUCUCAACCAACUUGCUUCUUCGCUAGCUGUUUCUAGUGCUAUCAUCUCAACUUCCGUAGUGGAUUGGUCUAAAAUAGUCUACUUCUUGAUAAACUCUAGAUAGUCUAUCUCAUUUUUUGCAAUAGCUAGAGUACUAUCACAAUGGAUCAACACAACUGGUAUCAGUUUUUCCCAAAGGGGAAUCUCAGCAAGCAAGCUUCUCAACCAACUUGCUUCUUCGCUAGCUGUUUCUAGUGCUAUCAUCUCAACUUCCGUAGUGGAUUGGUCUAAAAUAGUCUACUUCUUGAUAAACUCUAGAUAGUCUAUCUCAUUUUUUGCAAUAGCUAGAGUACUAUCACAAUGGAUCAACACAACUGGUAUCAGUUUUUCCCAAAGGGGAAUCUCAGCAAGCAAGCUUCUCAACCAACUUGCUUCUUCGCUAGCUGUUUCUAGUGCUAUCAUCUCAACUUCCGUAGUGGAUUGGUCUAAAAUAGUCUACUUCUUGAUAAACUCUAGAUAGUCUAUCUCAUUUUUUGCAAUAGCUAGAGUACUAUCACAAUGGAUCAACACAACUGGUAUCAGUUUUUCCCAAAGGGGAAUCUCAGCAAGCAAGCUUCUCAACCAACUUGCUUCUUCGCUAGCUGUUUCUAGUGCUAUCAUCUCAACUUCCGUAGUGGAUUGGUCUAAAAUAGUCUACUUCUUGAUAAACUCUAGAUAGUCUAUCUCAUUUUUUGCAAUAGCUAGAGUACUAUCACAAUGGAUCAACACAACUGGUAUCAGUUUUUCCCAAAGGGGAAUCUCAGCAAGCAAGCUUCUCAACCAACUUGCUUCUUCGCUAGCUGUUUCUAGUGCUAUCAUCUCAACUUCCGUAGUGGAUUGGUCUAAAAUAGUCUACUUCUUGAUAAACUCUAGAUAGUCUAUCUCAUUUUUUGCAAUAGCUAGAGUACUAUCACAAUGGAUCAACACAACUGGUAUCAGUUUUUCCCAAAGGGGAAUCUCAGCAAGCAAGCUUCUCAACCAACUUGCUUCUUCGCUAGCUGUUUCUAGUGCUAUCAUCUCAACUUCCGUAGUGGAUUGGUCUAAAAUAGUCUACUUCUUGAUAAACUCUAGAUAGUCUAUCUCAUUUUUUGCAAUAGCUAGAGUACUAUCACAAUGGAUCAACACAACUGGUAUCAGUUUUUCCCAAAGGGGAAUCUCAGCAAGCAAGCUUCUCAACCAACUUGCUUCUUCGCUAGCUGUUUCUAGUGCUAUCAUCUCAACUUCCGUAGUGGAUUGGUCUAAAAUAGUCUACUUCUUGAUAAACUCUAGAUAGUCUAUCUCAUUUUUUGCAAUAGCUAGAGUACUAUCACAAUGGAUCAACACAACUGGUAUCAGUUUUUCCCAAAGGGGAAUCUCAGCAAGCAAGCUUCUCAACCAACUUGCUUCUUCGCUAGCUGUUUCUAGUGCUAUCAUCUCAACUUCCGUAGUGGAUUGGUCUAAAAUAGUCUACUUCUUGAUAAACUCUAGAUAGUCUAUCUCAUUUUUUGCAAUAGCUAGAGUACUAUCACAAUGGAUCAACACAACUGGUAUCAGUUUUUCCCAAAGGGGAAUCUCAGCAAGCAAGCUUCUCAACCAACUUGCUUCUUCGCUAGCUGUUUCUAGUGCUAUCAUCUCAACUUCCGUAGUGGAUUGGUCUAAAAUAGUCUACUUCUUGAUAAACUCUAGAUAGUCUAUCUCAUUUUUUGCAAUAGCUAGAGUACUAUCACAAUGGAUCAACACAACUGGUAUCAGUUUUUCCCAAAGGGGAAUCUCAGCAAGCAAGCUUCUCAACCAACUUGCUUCUUCGCUAACAUGGAUUCAUGUAUGACUUUAUAUCCUUGUUUUAUAUUAUGUGUGAGAAUAAUGAGAUUCAAGAUCCUAGGGUUGUAUUUCAUCAUUCAUAAGGAAUUUCUAACAAGUGGUAUCAGAGCUUUAGGGUCUGAAUUUUAUGUUUCUCCAUUAAAAGUGUUUUCCCCAAUUUUUUAUGAAUCCUAAUUGUUAAAUUUGGAGAUUUUUAUGUUUCCACUAUUGGUUAUGAAAAUUGAGUAUUUAUGAAUAAUGAUGAUAACUUUCAUGUGCUUCUGCUUAUUUGAAUCAUGACUAAUUUUAUUAUAAAUCAUUGCGACAUAUGUCUUUAAGCUUUCAUUAAGUCAUUUGUCUUCAUCAAAAUACUGACAAACAUAAGUACACUCUUGACACAUUGCACUUUCACAAAUGACAGCAACCAUUUCUCGGCUCGAAUUGUAAAGCAAGAUACGACACGAGUCUUAACCUCUCUAUCGAAUUCACACAAAAAAAUAAUUAAGACAUUUUUAUUAUUAAAUAAAUUAUAAAUAAAAAAUAAUUAAUAACAUAAGAAAAAUCAUUGGUUAUUAACUCUUAGGAGUAGGAGGAAACAGUAAUGGGAAGAGAAAAAAAUAAUGGCAAAGGAAGAUGGGAUGAAGUGAAGAAGUUAGAAUGUAUCGAAAAAUAGGAGAGAAACAUAUCAAGAAAGAUUAUCUAUAGGAACAUUGCACUAACCUUUAUUAUAAAAUAAAAUUUCUCAAUAUCGCUAUCUCCUAUGUUUUACUACCCUUAGCAUCACAUUUUUGUCUUAUCUUUCUGUGUUUUUGUGAUUCUCUAUAUUUUGUGUGUCUCUUUUUUUGGUGUAUUUAAAUUGUUUUUAUUUUUCAUUCAUAAUCAAAUAUAUAAUUAAUUGAUUUUAUUUAAAAUUUAAAUAUUAUGUGUAAGAUUGUUUUUGGAAUAUCAUAAAAAAUAUCUUCAUAAUUUUAUAAAGCUGUAAAACAUUAUUAUGACACUCUCAUACAUUAAUAAAAAUAAUGAUUUGACCUUAAAACCAGAAGUGUCUGGAAUACUUUUUUUGUCAAAAUUUUCACAACGACUUUACAAAAUCUCAAAAACUAUUUUAGAAAAAAUGACAAGCAUUAUUUUGUUAAUUUAUUUAAUUAAUAAAUUGAAAAUGCAUAUGUUUUGUAAAUGAAAUAUCUCUAUUGUUAGACUAAUAAGUUUUCAUUAAGUCAUUUAAAAGCCUUUUUAAUUUUUAUUUUAAAAAUAAAACAAAAAUUAGUUGAAAGAAAUUAAUUUGAAAUAAUAUCACACUAUUAUUGAGUUUGCUUGCUAAAAUCAUUUUUAUUUUCAUUUCUCAUGGAAAAUGAAAAUUGGGAGGGGAGUGGACUUUGAGGUUUUAUAUGGCUAAUAGAUGAUCAUUAAGUAAUUUUAACCUAUAAGAGUGUGAAAUUUGAAAUUGUUUUUCAAAAUGAAGUAUUUCAUUUACAAAUAUUAUUUGGAAUCAAAUAUGAUUAAAACCUUUUUAUCACAUUGAUUUGUUUUGAUUAUAUAUUUUCAUUGUUUUAUCAUAUUAUUCCAAACAGUUUUUUGAAAAAAAUAUUUGAUUUUAUGAGUAAGCAAAUCAUGAUUUGGGAGUUAAGAAAAUCAUGAUUUUAGUGUUCUCAUGGUAAAUAACUAGUACAUAAAUAAACAUUAACUUUGUCAAGAUUGUGAAAACUUAUUUGGUCGACUUUGAGUACUUUAUUGAGACAAUUGGAAUUGAUGAAGAACAUAUGUUGGGACACUGACAAAACUCAAGAAAGAAAGAAAACAUUGAACAUCAUAUUGUUGGAACUUAGGAAAAUCAAUAACAACGUAGGUCAUCAUUUAACUGGAAUCUAAGUAAGCAUUAAUUUUGGGACACAAGUCACUAGGAAUGCAGACCGAAAUCCUUCUGGAACCUAGGUAAGCACGGAUUUUGGUUAACAAGCCACUAGGAACAUGGGUUGGGAUCCGACUAGAACCUAGGUAGGAAUCGAUUUUUGGAAGCAAGUCACUAGAACAUGGGUUGGGAUAGUUGGAAUAGAGUUAAAUAAUAAUGAUAUGACAGUCUGGAUUUAAAAAUACAUGAGUGAAAACUUUUUAUUGUUAUUAAUUUUACAUGCAAUUCAAGUUUAAAUAGUAUAUAUAAAUAGAAAAUAAUUAAUUAUAGAACACAUAAAUUUUAUGGAGGAUUAAUAUACUUUUCUCAUUUAAUGACCAUAUUUUAUUGGCAACUUAUAAGGAUCAUAUACUGUCUAAUAUAGUAAUAUAUUUGUGAUUCGUGUACUGAAGUUGGAAUGACAAAGAAUUUUUUGGUUGUUGAAACACUGAUAUUCUAAUUGAAUAUUAAUUACAUUGAGUAUAUUUAACUCGAUUUGAAUAGAAAUUUUGGAACUAAUAUGCUGUUAAAAAUUACAAAGACAAUCUAGUCAAUGGAAAUAUAAUAGUUUAUCAUUAGCAUUUAUAAAAUAGUUGAAGGAGAAGCAAGGAUAAUGCAAGUUAUCAUUGAACAACGUUAUUUUUUUUUAUCUUUUCUAUACAUUUUUUAAUGUAAUAUUUAUAUACUGAAGUGUAAAAAUUUAUACACAGUUACUGCAUCAUCCAUAAUUUAUUUUAUUACUUUUAUUUAAAAUCAAUAAUGAUUAAAAAUGAAUAGUGAAUGAUGCAAUGAAAGUGUAAAAAUCUGUUACAUUUUUAAUGUAUACAUUUUUUUUAUGUAGUUGAACAAUUACAUUCUUAGGAUUCUCAUUUAUGUCAUAUAUGAUGCUAAUCAAUUUUGGUUUGUCUAAAAUGACAGCAUACUUUAUCUUAUUUUAUAAUGAUCUAAACCAGACUGCUCAAAUAGUAAUUUUAAUUUCUUGUAAUAUUUUAAUAUUAAGCAAGGGUGUACUGAAUAAGAAGUUCAUAUUGACAAAUGAAUAUGGAUGCUUUAGUGUGCAUAUAAACACAACAAAAGUUCACAUAUUAAAGCCCAUUUGAUAUAAUAUAUUGAUGAAUAUCUACCAUGAUUAUUGAAAAUAUAAAAUAUAUCACUACAUUUUCCAGCCACAAUUUUAUUACUAUUUAAAGUUCUCUAAUACAAAAUUUAAUAUAUAAAACAUGAAGACCAUAGAACCAUGAACAAGUUUAUAAUAUGAGAAAAAGAUGUAUACACCAAUAUUGUAUGGAAUUUUUACAUUGCUAAUACAUCAUCAACCAUUCAUAUUUUAUUAUCAUUGACUCUUAAAUAAAAGUAAUACAAAUAAAUGGUAGAUGAUACACUGACUGUAUAAAUUUUUACGUAGAUAUUACACUCCUAUAAUAUAUAAUAUAACUUUUCUUUAUAACAUGAAUAGAAGAAUGUGCAACACACAUAGAAUUAGUAGUAAUGAUAAAUUAAAACAAUAUAUAUACGAAUAACACUCAACCAUUUAUUAAGAUAAAUAUAAAUAACAUGUGCCAAUCCAAAUAUUUCAAAGAAUUAAUAUAAUCAACAGUGGAACACCCUUGAUGCAAUGUUGUUGACAUAGAAAUCAUCUUUCUUCAAUCUUCAACUAGAAUCACAUGCCAUCUCGACAUUUAGUUAUAGCUGAGCAUCCACGGGUAUAAGGUUGUGGCUUGAUGUAAGGUUUCUUUCCAUUACAGCCAGGCAAUUUUUGUCCACCGUUUUUACAUGAUUCAUCUUUUACAUUCAUAUGACCCAUGACACCUUGGUUGAGCAUUGCCAUGCUUAGAAGAAGAGCACAAAGAAACAAAACCUUCAUUUUAAAGAUGAUGUUUUGAUCUUCUUUGUGCGCUAUAAUAAUUUGCAAAUGGCAAUGGUGUGGCCAUUGCACUAGGCAAAUAUAUAUACUCAAAGUUUUGUU
rnacentral:lncRNA from 1 species